CCUGGUCGGUUAAAUACCGACCUGCAUGAAUGGCGUAACGAGAUGGGAGCUGUCUCAAAGAGGGAUCCAGUGAAAUUGUAGUGGAGGUGAAAAUUCCUCCUACCCGCGGCAAGACGGAAAGACCCCGUGGACCUUUACUACAGCUUGACACUGCUACUUGGAUAAGAAUGUGCAGGAUAGGUGGGAGGCUUUGAGUAUAUGACGCCAGUUGUAUAUGAGCCAUUGUUGAGAUACCCCUCUUUCUUAUUU
rnacentral:rRNA from 1 species